GCUCAGGAUGAACGCUAGCUACAGGCUUAACACAUGCAAGUCGAGGGGUAGCAGGGUAGCAAUACCGCUGACGACCGGCGCACGGGUGAGUAACACGUAUCCAACCUUCCCAUAACUCAGGGAUAGCCUUUCGAAAGAAAGAUUAAUACCUGAUAGUACUUAAGAAAGGCAUCUUUUUUAAGCUAAAGAUUUAUUGGUUAUGGAUGGGGAUGCGUUCCAUUAGAUAGUUGGUGAGGUAACGGCUCACCAAGUCUUCGAUGGAUAGGGGUUCUGAGAGGAAGGUCCCCCACAUUGGUACUGAGACACGGACCAAACUCCUACGGGAGGCAGCAGUGAGGAAUAUUG
rnacentral:rRNA from 1 species